rnacentral:rRNA from 1 species
UACGUAGGGUGCAGGCGUUAAUCGGAAUUACUGGGCGUAAAGGGCUCGUAGGCGGCCAACUAAGUCAGACGUGAAAUCCCCAGGCUCAACCUGGGAACUGCGUCUGAUACUGGAUGGCUUGAAUCCGGGAGAGGGAUGCAGAAUUCCAGGUGUAGCGGUGAAAUGCGUAGAUAUCUGGAGGAAUACCGGUGGCGAAGGCGGCAUCCUGGACCGGCAUUGACGCUGAGGAGCGAAAGCCAGGGGAGCAAACGGG